AAAAGUGGACCAGUCAUGGUGCCAACAGUCAUCAAUCCCUGAAUGAAAUUACUAGCUCGUUGUUCAACAACUCGAUCUAUAACUUCUUUAUGCGUUUUUUCAAUUUCGUCUUCAUCAUAAUCAACCCUUUUAACACAAAGUGCUGCAGUAUGCAUGGGAGCCUGUGGAAUAAGCCCAUUUGGAGCAGGAAUACCUAAAAUACCACUCACUCCAGUCGUUAUACCAAGAAGAAAAAAAUCCCAAUGAAAUCCAGCAGGUUUGGUUAAUGGAAACGAAGGAUCUUGUGCCAUUACAGACUACUAAUGUUAAAAAAAGGAAAUUAAACAAUACAUACAGAAACGUUAUGAUCAAAAUAGAAUAGGAUAGUGAGAACAAUAGAAAAAGGAAUUGCCAGGAAAACAUCCCCAACG